GGUGACGUAGCUCAGCUGGUAGAGCAGGGGACUCAUAAGCCUCGUGUCGCAGGUUCGAAUCCUGCCGUCACCA
rnacentral:tRNA from 1 species